rnacentral:lncRNA from 10 species
UUCAUAUUCGUAGGCAGUUCUGCUGACUGUUGUUGGCUUAGCAUAGCACAUCUGGUCAGGAGGCCUCAAUUGGGCAAAUCUGAACUGCCUAAAAUGGUGUUGAUUCAUAUAACCUGUGAAAACAUGGAUUCAAAUUAACAAGCAUUAGGGCAGAUUUAUAUUUUUCCUUUAUUUAAGAACGAUAAUGUUCAGUGGAAGUGAUCGUGAGGGAAUAUCUGGAUCCAGAUGUAGUGGACAGUCACUGACACUGUAUGGAUCAAUGGCAGACCCAACAUUCCCUGCCUUUUUCUGAAAAACCUGGCUCCUUCAGCAACAUCAUCAUUAGCAAAAGCCAAAAGAGAAACUUGCCGACCUACACUGGGUUCCAGAGCAGCAGGGACUUUGAGUGUCUUAAUCAUCACUGCAUUAUCAGCUCCUGAGACUGUUCCUGGCACUCCAUAAACACUUGGUGAUGAAUAAAUCAUCCAACAGAAAGAAGGUAAACUCCAAAUUCUUCCUUAUUCUCACAUGCAAGACCUUCUAUGGGCUGAAUCCAACUUCAGUUUUCCAGGCUUGCUAGUCCUCUCCUUUAAUUUUUGAUGCCAGCCACAUUCACCUUGUCAUUGACUCCUAAAUAGGGGGACUUCUUCACCACCAAGGUUUUUUAGUGAGUGCUGAUCUUCUUCCCUCUGCCCACCCAAAUGCUGUCCCAUGGCCUGUUGCGGUCUUUCCCUCUCUGUGAAGCCACACAAAUUACUCUGUCCAUGUGCACCUUGUUGUCUGCACCCCUUUGGUGUCUGGAGACCCUAUGUGCCCAGCAAUCAAGUAUGAUCUGCCUGCAUUAUCUUUCUCCCCUCAUAUUGC